UACGGAGGGUGCAAGCGUUAUCCGGAUUCACUGGGUUUAAAGGGUGCGUAGGAGGGUAGGUAAGUCAGUGGUGAAAUCUCCGGGCUCAACUCGGAAACUGCCGUUGAUACUAUCUGUCUUGAAUGCCGUGGAGGUGAGCGGAAUAUGUCAUGUAGCGGUGAAAUGCUUAGAUAUGACAUAGAACACCAAUUGCGAAGGCAGCUCACUACACGAUCAUUGACUCUGAGGCACGAAAGCGUGGGGAUCAAACAGG
rnacentral:rRNA from 1 species